UAAAUUUCCUAGACUUUGAAAAUCUCCCUACUGCCUCAUGACCAGAAGGAGGCGGAACCAGCCUCCAAAAGAUAUCCUCCCCAACAUACCGUCUGUACUAAGGACUGAAACAACAUGCAGGAUGAGAAUCAUGUGGCCCUCAAGAUCUUGUUGAACUGCCACUCUCAGCAGCCCUAGCCAGCACAGCAGAUAGUGAGGAAUCAACAUCUGCCAUAUGAUUUUCCACCCUUUACUCUUUUGGCUUCUUGGUGGCUAGUUCCAUCUGUUGCAUUUGCCUACAAGUUCUAUGACCCCACAAGCAAAAUCACUGAAUUCCUCAAGCUGCUGCAGAUGAAUGUAAUCAAGACUGUAACUAGGCUACAAUCAGAAAGAAGAAACAUGAAGAAUAGGUGCUGCUCAUAUUUCAAAAACCAGGAGGUCAUGUAAACAUCAUGUAAACCUAUUCCUAGUCUUGAAAUUUUGCCUACUUUUGAUACUUAAAUACUGGGAAUAUGAUGAAGGUGGGGGAUGGAAAUUGUUCUUGUGUCCUUUCUGUAGACAAACACAGAAAUUAUAUUUGCCAGCAUAUACACAGGCACUCCUCCUGUCCGCCAUCUUUGAUUCUUAAUAGGUUUAGAAGAACAUGAUUCAGAUCUGCACCCAAUCUAAUACAAUCUGGACUAUGAACGGACUAUGUGUGGAACUCUCUUCCACGGGAGGUCAAAUCGGCCCACUCCCUGCUCUCUUUUUGCCAGCAGCUGAAGACAUUUUUAUUUAGGUAGGCUUUUGGUGGAUGAAUUUUACUUGUGUGGUGUGCUGUCUUAAUGUUUUAAUAGUUUUUACUGGGUUUUACUGUCUUAAACUUACGUUUUAAUAUUAAGAGUAUUUUAUAAUUUUUUAGCUUUUGUAAUUGGUAUUUUAGUUCUUUAAAAAAUUAUUGUAAACUGCUUUGGAUCCCAUUUUGGGAGAAAGGCGGGAUAUAAAUCUCUCCAACAAACAAACAAGUAAACAGAUAAAUAAAAUGAAUCCAGAGAAGGAAAAUAAACCAGACAGAUUUCAGAAAUGUAGCUUCAGGGGAGUUUAUGCUAGGCAUCUAUAAAGUUUGCUGUUUUUCAAAGAGCAAAAAAUCAUUUCUAAAAACUUGACUGCUAAAUCCUGACAAUUGAUUACUUGGAGACAGGUUUGUAUAUUUUUAAUUGUAUUGUUUCAAAAUUUGUAAGCCACUUUGUGUCCCAAUUGUGGUGAA